CAGGGUGUGGUCCACCCUAGGUGUCACCACUGAGGGGGGUGACAAAAUGCCGGGUGGCACGCAUUGCAGGGCCUGCAAGACGUGUGGCUCGGGUGCUGCAGACCCUGCGAUGCAUGCCACCCGGCAUUUUGUCACCCCCCCUCAGUGGUGACACCCGGGGUGGACUGCACCCA